CUUUUCCACAGCAAACAGGUCAGGGUCUGUAUGAGAAUAAAAACCCUCAACAGGGAAUACAUCACCAGCACCCAAAUGGUUGUCUGAUUUCUCCACUUUAUGAUGUGCUUCACACUUGCUCCCAUUAUCAUGCAAAAAACCAUCCACCGAAUCUACUAAUUUAUGGGGAGAAAAUGGGGGGAGAAAAAAAAAAAGAGAGAGAGAGAGAAAAAAAGAAGCUAAAAAUGAUUACUAAGAAAGUGAAAUUCAGAAGUAACUGUCCAUUUUGCACUAAAACUAAAAUUAGUAAUGGAAUUUGACAGUACUAAAGAUGAUUGGAAGUGCCAGACUCUAGCUGUAAUGGAAUUCAGAAGUUUAUUCAUGGGUCCAUGAAUAAACUUCAAAAGAAAAUUCUACAUAUGGAUGCCCAUGAAAGCCACACAAAUCAUUCUAAUAUAGAUGUUACUGCAAAACUAAACUUUGUUCUGUGGCUCCCCUAUGAACUGCAAACCAAGGAAAAAAAAAAGGAAGUCUGUGGCCUAUGAUUCCCUAAAGAAAGAGUACAGAUUACAGAUGGAAAUUGCCAAAGUUACUAAUCUUAUAUUGCUUUGUUACUGUGAUUAAUGCAAACUCUCACAUUUUCUCAUCUAAUGAGAAAUUAAAGAAAAAAAAAAAAAACACUUUGUAUAUUUCAGUAAUUCCUGGAUCAUUUAGAAGUAGUGGGAAUUUUGCAACUGAUACAUGCAUUAUUUCUCUAAAGGUUGUUCAUGAAAUGCUCUGUUUUGUUGCAGAAACCCAAAAUGAGAAGAAAAUAAUUACAUUUUUCUAAGUCUUAAAUUUUCAAUAUUUGGGAUUUGAGAACCCAAAAACUUCACCUAAUUAAACCUAUACAACUAUUUUGGCUUAGCUGGGAGUUGUUCUUUUAGUUACCUAUUGGCUAUUUCUUGUAUACCAAAGCAUAAAAGUAACAAUCCAAAAUUUUCUUUUUCUACAUUUCCUAAUGAAACAAAGAGAGGGAAUAUAAACAACUUCAACUGUCAUAGCCUCUGGUAGAUUCUACAAAAUUAUAAAAUAAGAAUAACAAAUCCUCAAAAGAAAUUUAAUAUUGAAAGCACAGUAUCGAGAGAGGGAGAGAGAGAGAGAGAGAGAGAGAGAGAGAGAGAGAGAGAGAGAGAGAGAGGAGAAGAAGAAGAAUUACAAAAAGAAAUUAGAUUUAGGGAUUAAAGAGUCCUAAACAAAGGUUUUGCAAAACACAAAAACAAAUCAAAACAUGCCUAUACUCUUCCCAACCAAUAUGGUAACAUGCAACUAUUUGAAGUCUAGCCCUAAAACCACCAAACAUUUUUUAAAAAAACAAGAAAAAGAAAAAAAGAAUAUGCAGCAAUGUUUCCAUAAUACGUUUCUAGUAACUGUAGGUCAAACAAAUAAAUUGACAAAUCACAUUUUGCAGCCCCACGAUAAAAAGGGUCCUUCAAAACCUCUUGUUGGAGAAAUCUCAACUUCAAGUACAAUAACCUUAAGGUUUUGAGGCCUUAGAAUCAUGAUUUCCCCAUUGAUGUGUCUUCUAAAUUAGAGUAGUCUUAACUUCCUACAUGAUCUUUGAUCUUCUAAAACAAGUUGUUCCUGUGAAAUCAAAACUUGCAUGGACAAUUAGACACCAAACUGAUGUAGCUAUACCUAAAACCUAUAGGCAGUAAGCAUAUGACCAAAGAAUUAUGGAUCUACUUUAAAAGUAGUUUACUACUUUAUAUUUUCAUUGAGAAAUUGAUGUUUAGAAGUAUUUUACUAUUUUCCAUUAAAGACGCAUUCAAUUUUCAGUUUUUGCUAGUAUACUUUAACUGCAUUGAAGUCUUAAAGAUAAACAGAAGUGCUAGUCCAUCGUGAAAAGAAUAGAAAACUUGUAUGAUUAACCACAUCAGGAAUGGAAAAGUAGAGAUCAAAUAUGCACAACCAUGUGCUCAUCCAGCUACUUCCAACCUAUCAUAAAAAAGUUCAUCACCCAACUGCUUCAGGCUGGCCAGUAUCAUAUGCUCUGACAUUUAGGCGUUCACCUCCAAGUCCAAUUGGACUUUUUCCUUUGUUGCAAACCAGCCCAUUGGGAACUUCUGAAACUUUCUCCUUUUAGUGAAAUAUAACUCCUAAUUGGUUUCUACAUUAGUUAGAGCUGAUUUUAGAAGCUCUUUGACCACCUUAAAAGUAAGGUGAUGUGUAUCAAACAAGCUUUGAAAUCGUGAUUGCUAAGAUUCUCCUUAUUUGUCUGUUCAAUUUUACUGCAUGCAAGUGUACACACAACAAACUGUCACUUCCUCUAUUUUUCUAAGCUGAGAUCAUACUUUCAUAUCCCGGAACCUGUUUCUGUGGCCUUGACAUAGACAUUCCAAAGUCUAAAUCAAUUGCUAUCCAUCAAUUCCCACAACCUAUUUUCUAAAAAUUCCAGCAAUGUACUGUCCUUAAAUACAACAUAACUCUACUCAUAUUCCAUCUAUCAACCAGAAAAUCGCUCCUUCCAACUUCACAAGCCUUAAAAGAGUUUAGAUCUAUCUAUAGAUGACCAACUGAAUAAGUGAUGUGCACAGCAUUAUCCUCAUCUACUGCAUCACAACCUAACCUCACUUCUCAAAGAAAAUUUCAAAGGAAAAAACAACCCCUCUAACAAACCUAAUACAUCUAAAAAUACCAAGAACCAAAAAAAUAAAUAAAUAAAUAAAUUAAAAGCUCAAUUUCCUCUCUUUUCCUCCAUUUUCGUGGCCACCAAUUAACCAAACAUCAUUACUCUCGUGUCUACAUCACAAACUACAUGGGCUUUCACUGAGAGAAAAUGGGAAAAAACCCCUCUUUACUAAACCCAAUCCAUUUCUUUUCCCCUCAUUUCAUAAGCAAGGAAACACAAUUACUCUCAUACAUUGUGUCACAAUCCAACCUCAUUUAACAACCUACAUGAAACAAAAAAGGAAAGAGGAAAAAACAAUGCACUGAACUUAAUACAUGAAAAUGCAACAAAACAACAAUAGAAAUAGCAACUUAAAAGCUUCAAUUUUUCUUCUCUUUCCUUCCAUUUCUAGCAAGCAAACAGAAGUGAUACAAGAACAAAAAAAAAAGAAGAAGAAAGAAUUACAAACCUGAAAUCAAUGGACAGUACAAAUCAGCACAAUCAGCCAUUCUAGGACUCCCCAUUUGAGGUGCUUCAGCCCCAACUUCAUUGCAGAAGUUCCAAGCUUCCAGCCCAAU
rnacentral:lncRNA from 1 species